GGCGAACGCUGGCGGCGUGCUUAACACAUGCAAGUCGAACGGAAAGGCCCUGCUUUUGUGGGGUGCUCGAGUGGCGAACGGGUGAGUAACACGUGAGUAACCUGCCCUUUACUUUGGGAUAACUUCAGGAAACUGGGGCUAAUACCGCAUAUGAGCUCCUGCUGCAUGGUGGGGGUUGGAAAGUUUCGGCGGUUGUGUCUGGACUCGCGGCUUAUCAGCUUGUUGGUGGGGUAGUGGCUUACCAAGGCUUUGACGGGUAGCCGGCCUGAGAGGGUGACCGGACACAUUGGGACUGAGAUACGGACCAGACUCCUACGGGAGGCAGCAGUGGGGAAUAUGGCACAAUGGGCGGAAGCCAGAUGCAGCAACGCCGCGUGCGGGAUGACGGCCUUCGGGUUGUAAACCGCUUUCGCCGGUGACGAAGCGUGAGUGACGGUAAUGGGUAAAGAAGCACCGGCUAACUACGUG
rnacentral:rRNA from 1 species